rnacentral:rRNA from 1 species
UACAGAGGUCUCAAGCGUUGUUCGGAUUCAUUGGGCGUAAAGGGUGCGUAGGUGGCGCGGUAAGUCGGGUGUGAAAUUCCUGGGCUCAACCUGGGGGCUGCGUUUGAUACGUAUGGUCUUGAGUGGGGAAGAGGGUCGUGGAAUUCCCAGUGUAGAGGUGAAAUUCGUAGAUAUUGGGAGGAACACCAGUGGCGAAGGCGACUUCCUGGCCUGUUCUUGACGCUGAGGCGCGAAAGCUAGGGUAGCAAACGGGG